rnacentral:rRNA from 1 species
GGGUCAGUAGGUUGGUCGUGCCACCGGUACGUACUGGUCUCACUGAUUCCUCCUUCCUGAAGAACCGUAAUGCCAUUAAUUUGGUGUUGCGGGGAAACAGGACUGUUACUUUGAAAAAUUAGAGUGUAUAAAGCAAGCUAACGCUUGAAUACAUUAGCAUGGAAUAAUGAAAUAGGACGAUCGAUCCUAUUUUGUUGGUUUCUAGGAUUGACGUA